rnacentral:lncRNA from 1 species
GUAAAGCAACGCAUCACAUAUGUGUCUCUCUUGAGCGGCGUAUGGAUGUCAGCUGCUCCAGGUGGUUCCUAGCAUCUCCCAAGGCCCUGCUCUUUCCCUGGAGAGGACCCAGCAGGGACAAAGACAUGGGAAAGGAGCUGUGGCCAUGACCCAUCUGUCUCAGUCAAAUGCAGACCUGGGAGCAGGGCGGCCAAACUAGCGCGCUUCUGACAUGCCCGGCUGAGUUCCAAGGCAAGAGAGCAAAGAUGUCCUGACUUGGGGCUUGUUACGCGUCCACAGUUGGCAUGCUUUGGUCUGACCGUGGCCUUCGGUCAGAGCAGCUGCCUGAGGCCCAUCUCUGCAGGCCCCAGGCCUUCCCUCCCUCCUCUUGGACCAGGGAUUCACGUUCUGGAGGGCUUGGGAACGUGACUGGCAUGAACCCUCUGCAGGGCUCGAGUGGAUGGGCACUGGGUCAGUAGCGAGUGUGGCCCUUGGAUAGUUGAGGUGUUCGGGAUGACAUUUGGGUCUGUGGUGCAUAUGCAUGGUGGCCUAGCAGGCUGUCCUGUGGGGAGGGAGCGUCCUCACAGAUCCUCAGAGCUUGUGAACAUGGGUGUGCUCUUUCUCUCAUGGGACAGUGGGCAGGCCACUUAAAGUGGACAGUUGUGGCACUUACCACUUAGCACCCCCGUGAGGAUGAAACGCAGUAGCACACCCUUUUGCAGGUGGAGGAAAAGGUAAGCAAAUACGAAUAAAGAUUUUUAUUUAAGGAUCGAUGCCCCCAGUAUCCAGGUCCUAAGCCCUGCCUUGAAGGGCCAGGCGGAGACGGCUGGGAGGGCUCCUUGGAUUUGCGCCUGUCUGGCUACCUGGGGCCCUUGCCAUGCAGAUCCACCUGGAGGUCACAGGGGGGUAUUGACCUGCAGUGUGAGGGCCCAUGAUGGCCCUAGUCUACGUCCAUGGUGACUCUAUAGCAGGUUCUGCCCAGACCCAACCUGUAUCCUCUCAACCUUUCACCUGCAGUUGCUGAGGGUUCCUUCCAGGCGGGUGGAACAUGCACCUCCUUCUCUUUCCCUCGGACAUCAAAGGAGCACGCUGGAGGAAAUGACAGCAUCUAACCAGGUAGCAUGUGUGUUUGUGUGUGCAUGUGUGUGCACACGCAUGUGCAUGUGUGUGGGUGUGUGCACGUGUGUGGGUGGUGAGCAGGACACAGGGGCCAACCUCCGUCCCUGGGGAUGGCAGCUGGUGGGGAAGUGGCCCCACCUCUUGGUCCUCCUGGGAGUUGAACCCAGGUGUCUUCUGCACGUCUCCUCAGGGGGCCCCGGUGGGACUGGGCCCAGUCACUCGGGGCCUCACCAGCACCCUGACACACUCCAUACUGUCCCCCCUCCCUACCUGACUUGGUUUCUCUCUGCCUCGCUCCUGGGAUCACUGUCUGUCUCCAACUAGGGUCCCCUUUUGCAGAUUGACCCCAAACGCCUGCCGGAGUUUCUGGGACCCAGGGCCCCUCAGCUGAAGCCCCUGCACUGACCCUCCUGUGAGCCGUGUGCUGUCAGAGCCUCACAUCCUGUCAGCUGCCCUCUGAGGAGACCUUGGGGCCUCCCCCCACACCAGCAUGUCAUGAGUGGGCCCCUCGCCCAGCCCAGGCGCUGUCCCCAUGGAGCGAGGCCAAGGUGUGGCUGGCUGAGUUCUCCAGGGUUGGCACCAGCUCCACACAGAUGGGCGGAGGCCAUGUCCUCUGUGCCCUCAGCGGGCAGCAGGGCAAGCACUGAAGAAGCCAGCCUUGUCCCGUCUUCAUGGAGGAGAUGAACAGGGAGCCGAGGUGCAGGCCACUGUGGGGACCCAGGCGGGGAGGAGGGUAGGCGCAGGCCAAGGAGGGAAAGGGUUGACUUGAGAGGCUUUUUGUUGGUAGAGGCAGCAGGAGUUCCCGAGGGCUGGGCUGGGCUGGGUGAAAGCAAGAGAAUAGAAGACACGGAUAUUAGGUUUGGGCUUCCGAUGUGGGCUGGGCCUGCGUUCGGUUGGUGGGAAUGUAAAUUAGAAUAGCCACUGUGGAAAACAGUGUGGAGGCUCCCCAAAACAAGUGAAAACAGAGCUACCAUGCGAUCUGUCAAUACCAUUCCUGGGUGUGUGUCCAAAGGAAAAGAAAUCAGCGUGCAAAGAGGUAUCUGCUCUCCCAGUCUUAUUGCUCACAAUCGCCAAGACAUGGAAUCAAUCUAAGUGUCCACCAGGGGAUGAACGGAUAAAGUGUGGUACAUACACACAGUGGAAUAGUACUCAGCAUUAAAAAGGAAAAACGGAGCCGGGCAUGGUGGCACAUGCCUGUAGUCCCAGAAACUUGAGAGGCUAAGGCAGGAGGAUCCCAAGUUAGAGACCAGCCUCAGCAACUUAGCAAGGCCCUAAGCAACUUAGUGAGACCCUGUGUCAAAAUAAAAAAUUAAAAAAGGGCUGGAAUAUGGCUCAGUGGUAAAGCCCCUGGGUUCAAUCCCCAGUACCCAAUCAAUCAAUGGAUCAAUGGAGAAAAGAAAUACUAUACAGCAAGAUGGAUGAGCCUGGAGGUUAUCACAUUAAGUAAAAUAAUUUAGGUUAUGGAAAGACAGACAUUACAAGAUCUCACUUAGGUGUGGAAUCCAAAUUUGUCAAACUCAGAAACAGAGCAGAGGGAUAUUUUCCAGAGGCUGGGUGGAGGGGCACUGGGGAAAUGUUGGUCAAAGGAUACACAAUUUUAGUUAGGCAAGAGGAAUAAGUUUAGGAGAUCCAUGUAGGACGCGCUAACCACCGUUAAUAACAAGGUGCCAUGUAUUUUAAAAUUGCUGAGAGGAGGUUUUCGGUGUUCUCACCAGGCACACACAAACAGGCACCAGUUAUGUGAAGUAAUUCAUGCUAAAUAGCUUGAGUUAGCCCUCCGCCUGCUGUAUGCCAUCAAUAGGUACAAGUUGUCCUUGUCAAUGAAAAACGAAUGAUAAGCCAGGCACGGUGGCACACGCCUAUAAUCCUAGUGUCUCAGGUGACUGAGGCAGGAGGAUCCAGAGUACAAAGCCAGCCUCAGCAACAGUGAGGUGCUAAGCAACUCAGUGAGAGCCUGUCUCUAAAUAAAAUACAAAAUAGGGCUGGGGGUGGGGCUCAGUGUUCGAGUGCCCCAAGUUCAAUCCCUAGGUAUCCCCCCCCCAAAAAAAAAGGUGCAGUAAACUAUGGAAAAUAGUUGGGUGGUUCCUGCAAAACAAGACUGAGGUGGAUUGUGGGGCAAAGGCAGAUGGGGCUAGGCACGUGUCAGAGGCGGAGUGGCAGAGCAGGUGGUUGACUCAGGGAGCCACAUGACACCCUGGGCCUCCCCGGCUCCAGAGAGCAGCCCCCCGGAGAUGAGCAGAAGGAUGGGGAUCUCUGACAGCCCAUGUCCCUGACAGGCUUAAGGACAAAAGAACACAGCCCCUGACUUUGGGUGGAUGCAGCCUCCCUGUUGGCUGUGUCCCUUGGAAACCUGGGUCACUGGAAGGAGAGGUGACGAGUGGGAGGUGACAUUACUGCUCACCCAGGAGCCAUCUGCUCACUAAUGCAAACAGCCUCGUCUGUCAGGACGGGCGAGAAAAAAUGACCGGGCCACCCUGCGGCGUAGCCCAGGGAGAGGGGUCCCUGGCCCCGUGAGGUAAUCCCUCUGAUGAUGUAUGGCCCGGAGGAGGGUGGGGUUAAUGAUCUUCAGCGGGACCCGGGAGUAAAACCCAGUAAUUUCAUAAUACAGGGUGUGAUGGAUUAAGGCGUGUUAAUAUCAGGAGUAUACAUUAAGGGAAAUGAUCUCGCUGGCAUACUAAAUGGCAAAAUAAAAGCACUUUUAGAAACUUCCAUGAUUAAUUGGUCUGCCCUUUUAGUUCUGUACCAUGAUAAAGUAAAGCUCACUUCUCCUCGUCACCUCCCAGGCAAUCCCUCUACGGCUCCCCGGCCCUCUGAGGACCCCCGGGAGGCCGGCCAGGGGCCAGAGCCCAGACCUGCAGCCUGGGAUAGGCUUGUGCAUCAUUUUCCAGGGGUUCAGAAACCACCAUUUCACGAAGUUCAGAAAUACCACGGGCAAAGCCC